rnacentral:rRNA from 1 species
CCUACGGGUGGCAGCAGUGAGGAAUAUUGGUCAAUGGGCGAGAGCCUGAACCAGCCAAGUCGCGUGAGGGAGUACUGCCCUAUGGGUUGUAAACCUCUUUUGUCGGGGAGCAAAAGCCGGACGUGUCCGGCUGUGAGAGUACCCGAAGAAAAAGCAUCGGCUAACUCCGUGCCAGCAGCCGCGGUAAUACGGAGGAUGCGAGCGUUAUCCGGAUUUAUUGGGUUUAAAGGGUGCGCAGGCGGAUUUUUAAUUCAGCGGUAAAAUCGUGGGGCUCAACCCCAUCCAGCCGUUGAAACUGGGGAUCUAGAGUGUGCGAGAGGUAUGCGGAAUGCGUGGUGUAGCGGUGAAAUGCAUAGAUAUCACGCAGAACCCCGAUUGCGAAGGCAGCAUACCGGUGCACAACUGACGCUCAGGCACGAAAGCGUGGGUAUCGAACAGGAUUAGAUACCCUAGUAGUC